rnacentral:rRNA from 1 species
CAGCCGCCACGGUAAUACGAACCGUGCGAACGUUAUUCGGAAUCACUGGGCUUAAAGCGCGUGUAGGCGGGCCGCCACGUCGGCUGCUGAAAUCCCCCGGCUCAACCGGGGAAGUGGCACCGAUACGAGCGGCCUGGAGGGGGGUAGGGGGGACUGGAACUUCCGGUGGAGCGGUGAAAUGCGUUGAGAUCGGAAGGAACGCCCGUGGCGAAAGCGAGUCCCUGGACCCUUACUGACGCUGAGACGCGAAAGCCAGGGGAGCAAAUGGGAUUAGAUACCCCCGUAGUCCCUGUCUCUUAUA